AUGCUCUUUUCUCUUUCCUUCUAGUUGUAUAACUUCCACUCAGCCAGCUUUCUGGGUUCUGGGAUAGUUAAACGUUUUGUCUUUUGGUUGUAGUUUUGAAAUUGUUGUGUGAGGCAGCAGUUUAGGGGUUUACCUUUGCCCUCACCUUGGCUUUUCUCCCCUUUAGUUUCAUUUUAUGGUUCUAUGGGCAAGGCCCUGAACUGCCUCUCAGAGAAAUAUCGAUAGGAUUUUAAAAAGCUGAAGUGAUGCCUAUUUGCCAAGGACCUCGCCAUCCAUUUCCAGAGGAGACACCCCUGAAGGUCAGGUGUCCUUGCUCCUGGUAGCAGGAAGCCUGCUAGGUUCUGUCUAGUGUGUGAAGUUAGGGAUGGAGGCUGCUCCAGCAAGAGGCUGAGGAAAGUGGAGGAAGAGUCCCCCCAGGCCAGGGGCCAGUGUAGCAGGGUUCCCUCUGUGGAUGAACAAGGGGUUCUAUGGAAAGUAACCUCACAGGGUGAUCUGAUCCUAAAUUGCUAACUGGGUGCUCAUGGUGGAUAGGCAUGCCCCAGGCCUAUAACUUCUUUACCUUAAGCCAGCUCUGUCCGUUGUUCUUGUGCAUCUAGUUAGGGCACCUCUGAGAUGCCAGAACACUACUCUUUGGGAAGCACAUAAUCUUGUUAAUUAUCCUAUAAUCCACUCCCUUCCACUCCUUCCUUAAUGCUAAACGCAUAAAAGAAACCAAGAAACUGUCUCCAGAGCAUUUGUGAUCUUUCUGCCAGGCAUGUCAGCAAUUUGGCUCAAAUAAACUCA